rnacentral:tRNA from 1 species
GGAGGAUUGGCCGAGUGGUAAGGCACCGGCUUGCUAAGCCGUGGUCGGGGUCGACCCCCGCGCGCGUUCGAUCCGCGCAUCCUCCG